rnacentral:rRNA from 1 species
UUAGAGUUUGAUCCUGGCUCAGGAUGAACGCUAGCGGGAGGCUUAACACAUGCAAGUCGAACGGUAAGGUCCCUUCGGGGAUACACGAGUGGCGGACGGGUGCGUAACGCGUAUGGAACUUACCUUAUGCAGGGGGAUAGCCCAUGGAAACGUGGAUUAAUACCUCAUAUGCUGAACAUUCUGCAUGGGAUGAACAGGAAAGUUAUUUACGGCAUAAGAUAGUCAUGCGUCUGAUUAGCUGGAUGGUAAGGUAACGGCUUACCAUGGCGACGAUCAGUAGGGGUCCUGAGAGGGUACCCCCCCACACUGGUACUGAGACACGGACCAGACUCCUACGGGAGGCAGCAGUGAGGAAUAUUGGGCAAUGGACGCAAGUCUGACCCAGCCAUCCCGCGUGCAGGAAGACUGCCCUAUGGGUUGUAAACUGCUUUUCUACGCCAAGAAAGGUCUCUACGAGUAGGGAUUUGCCGGUAGCGUAGGAAUAAGCAUCGGCUAACUCCGUGCCAGCAGCCGCGGUAAUACGGAGGAUGCAAGCGUUAUCCGGAUUUAUUGGGUUUAAAGGGUGCGCAGGCGGAAGAUUAAGUCAGUGGUGAAAUACUGCCGCUUAACGGUAGGGUUGCCAAUGAUACUGGUUUUCUUGAGUAUGGUUGA